GCCUCUGUGGCUUAGUGGUAGAGCAGCAGACAGCGGAUCUGCCGGCCGUGGGUUCAAUUCCCACCAGAGGCU
rnacentral:tRNA from 1 species